rnacentral:rRNA from 1 species
UACAGAGGUCUCAAGCGUUGUUCGGAUUCAUUGGGCGUAAAGGGUGCGUAGGCGGCGCGGUAAGUCGGGUGUGAAAUCUCGGGGCUCAACUCCGCGUCGGCCAUGAAUACUGCUGGGCUGGAGCACUGUAGAGGCAGGCGGAAUUCCGGGUGUAGCGGUGAAAUGUGUAGAGAUCGGGAGGAACACCGGUGGCGAAGGCGGGUCUCUGGGCAUUUCCUGACGCUGAGGCGCGAAAGCGUGGGGAGCAAACGGG